GCCUCCUGGACAAGACAUGACAGACAUUUUUUUUAAAUAUAAUUUUCACAACCGUCAUUGAGGAGAGGCAAUAACUAUGUUGUGAUGCUGGAGUUGUUUGCCCUCGCCGGUCUCCCAGGACCCAUCCUCUAAUGACUAAGCUUCACUACAAGGAGUUUAAAAGGAUGUUACACUGCUGGAUGGUGGUGUGCUGCAGUUGGCUGGUUUCCUGCUGCAAGCUUUGCGCUGUGCGGCAGAGAGCCAGACCGGCCACCACCUCCUCCGGAAGCCGGAGGGCACUCUGACACCUCUGCACGGCCGCCACCUGCCGCUUGAAGCCGUCCAUCUCGGCCAGCAAACGCUGAAAUGGGGAGAGGGUCCAAUGUGUAUUCAAAAAAUCACCUACAUGUGUUGUCGUGCAUUGACUUUACUUGUCUCUGUGUGAGUUGCUCUCUCAGACUGAGCCUGUUGAGAUCGGGGGAGGCCAGGGUGACUUGGACUUGGUCCACUGCGGCGUGGAGACUCUUCACCUCAGCCUCCAAAUGCGAUAUGUCCUUUGAAAUACCAAAUAUGAUUAUGAGUGCGGAAUAGAAAGUGAUAGCUAAUUAGAAAAUGAGAAGACACAAAAGAGGACCAACUGGUUGCGUAUAACCACCAAUUAAAGCUUUUCAUUUCAUUGUUGGCAGAGCAACACUUUUGUUUGCUAAGGAUAAAAAAAAUGAAAAAAUGAAAAAGGGGUCACAUGGUCUGAUGAGUUUGUAUUGACCUUGUUCCAAAUUGACGGACACAGGGAAGUAAUAGAUGACAGCUCAUUCCAGAGCAAUGUGUAACUUAUCGUGAGUCAAAUGUGGCUUGUGCGCAUGUUUGCAGCCUCGUGCUACAAGCAAAUGUAAACAGUAACUUGUACCGAUGACAGAUUUGUGGAACAUGACUGUCUUGCCUGCCGCAGGCACCAGAUUAUUGGAGUCAAUCAUGAGGGAUGCAAUACCGACAAUCGCCACACGGCGGCACUGUUGACACAGUGAAGCCAUUAAUUUACCUUAACAGCAUCCUGCAGACUCUGCAGGCGAGUCUUAACCACCAGCUGCAGCUCCUCCGUGCGUCUGCUGAGGUGCUUCACCUGGUGACUCCACCCUUUGGUCGCCAGCAAAUCCCCCAACUGCACCUCCCACUCCGCCAGGGCCUCCAGGUCGCCAUGGAGACCUCGACACUCUCUCAGCAACAGCUAUCAACGGCAAAGCGUAAUUUAAACGAGAGAAAGGGAGGAGACUUGUCGGCCUGUCAAAUGGUACUAAUUAAGGGUGCUGAAUACUCAGUUGGGGCCGACAUUCAGCUCAAAAUUAGAGGAAGAGACUCCAAUUAGCGGCACAUUUGUGUUGUUAUAUUCAGACAGGAUGAAGUCUUUGUUUUGGAAAAGAGAUAAGUGGUUUCAAUUAGAAUCGCAAUUCAGAAUGGAUUUUAUUGCACUGUCAGCAAAAGGUAUAUAUUCACAAAUAGGAUUUCUUAGAAACAAAGAUAGGUCAAAUAUUAAUAAGGUCAACUGAUAAAAAAGACUCACCUGAUAUGCUCGGAUUUGCUCUUGUAGUUGUGAUAGUGGACUCCAGACGAUGUUACCGCAGACCAGAGUCUCCGCUUUUUCGGACCAGCUCAAAAUAAAUUCCUUCACGCUUUGAUAUUCUGCCAUUUGCUUCUCUGCCUGCUCAGGAUUAUAUAAUAAAGAAGAGAACGGAGCGUUAAUUCAAACUAAGACAUCAGAAUUAUCUUCAAACGCAUAGGGAAUUUCAUUUGACGUAAUUUUGGUCUCUUUGUGUGUUGUGACAUGUGGAGAGAUUGACAAUAAAGCUGACUUUGACUUUGA